CUCCCCUCUCUCUCCCUCCUGAAGGAGAGAGAGAGAGAGAGGGGAGCAGACUGAGCAUGCUCACUCUGCUCCCCUCUCUCUCCUUCAGGAGGGAGGGAGAGGGGAGC